GAUGAACGCUAGCUACAGGCUUAACACAUGCAAGUCGAGGGGAAACGAUAGAGAAAGCUUGCUUUUUCUAGGCGUCGACCGGCGCACGGGUGAGUAACGCGUAUCCAACCUGCCCACCACUUGGGGCUAACCUUGCGAAAGUAAGACUAAUACCUAAUGACGUCCAUAGAAGACACCUGAAAUGGAUUAAAGAUUUAUCGGUGAUGGAUGGGGAUGCGUGUGAGUAGCAUGGUGGCAGGGUAACGGCCCACCAAGGCGACGAUCAGUAGGGGUUCUGAGAGGAAGGUCCCCCACAUUUGAACUGAGACACGGUCCAAACUCCUACGGGAGGCAGCAGUGAGGAAUAUUGGUCAAUGGGCGAGAGCCUGAACCAGCCAAGUAGCGUGCAGGAUGACGGCCCUAUGGGUUGUAAACUGCUUUUAUAAGGGAAUAAAGUGGGAGUCGUGACUCCUUUUGCAUGUACCUUAUGAAUAAGGACCGGCUAAUUCCGUGCCAGCAGCCGCGGUAACAC
rnacentral:rRNA from 1 species